UACAGAGGGGGCAAGCGUUGUUCGGAAUCAUUGGGCGUAAAGAGUGUGUAGGCGGUCCGGUAAGUCGGUUGUGAAAGUCCAGGGCUCAACCCUGGGAUGCCGACCGAUACUGUCGGACUAGAGUUCGGAAGAGGCGAGUGGAAUUCCCGGUGUAGCGGUGAAAUGCGCAGAUAUCGGGAGGAACACCUAUGGCGAAGGCAGCUCGCUGGGACGUUACUGACGCUGAGACGCGAAAGCGUGGGGAGCAAACAGG
rnacentral:rRNA from 1 species